rnacentral:rRNA from 1 species
AGAAUCAACGCUGGCGGCGUGCCUAACACAUGCAAGUCGCACGAGAAAGGGUAGCAAUACCUGAGUAAAGUGGCGCACGGGUGAGUAACACGUGAAUUAUCUACCUCCGAGUGGGGAAUAACUGAGAGAAAUCUUAGCUAAUACCGCAUAACACUUGCGAGUCAAAGCAGCAAUGCGCUUGGAGAGGAGUUCGCGGCCGAUUAGUUAGUUGGCGGGGUAAUGGCCCACCAAGACGAUGAUCGGUA